CUUGGUGGCCAUAGCGGAAGGCCCAACACCCGAUCCCAUCCCGAACUCGGCCGUGAAACCUUCCCGCGCCAAUGGUACUAUGGCUUAAGCCACGGGAGAGUAGGUCGCUGCCAAGU
rnacentral:rRNA from 1 species